ensembl:lncRNA
UUUUAUAUUAUUGUUUUGUUUAAUUUUAAUUUUUUACGCCCAUCCAUUCUUCCUCUGCUGGCCAGAGUAAUAAUUGCAGUAUUUAAAUCCUUUGUGAUGCACCUAAAAUGUACUUACUUACUUACCUACUUACUUAGCAAGUGCUUAAAAUGAAUGAUGUAGCCAAACACUUUAGAAUAUGACCUGACAGGUCAUUGAGCAUUGCUGCUAAAAUGUGUGGACCUUAAUGCAUUAAGCAUCUUGAUCCAAUUGGGAUAUUAGAGUGUAGAAGUAGUUUAAUGUGUUAGCUCAACUGCCACAUUAAGAAAUGUAUUACUAAUCUUAGAUUAAACAUUUUUUGAGGACAUACACGGUGAAUGCAGGUUAUAAUGCAUCAUGGAAUACAGAGGCAAAUACUCGUAUGUGUCACAUCAUUAUGUGUUUAGAAGUGAUUUUUGUCUUGUCACAUUCCAGCUUGCGGCUUGCAAAAAUAUGAAGUAAUCGCAGCUUGACGGGGUGGAUGUGCACACACUUCUGUUCUUUCUUCAAAAGAUAGUAGUUCUACAAAACACACAACAAUCCCAAUUACUACUGUGCUAUAAUUUUGACGUAACUGCUGCUCUACAUUGUACUUGUUUCACUAUAUGAAUAUGUUUUUGUGUUUACCUCAGGGUGUGUGUGUGUGUGUGUGUGUGUGUGUGUGUGUGUGUGUGUGUGUGUGUGUGUGUGUGUGUGUGUGUGUGUGUGUGUUUCUGUGUUUCUAUUUGUUUUGGGGUUUUUUUGUUUGUUUGUUUGUUUUUUAUCGAUUUCCUCAUGUCUCCACCUUUCCACAUCUCUUCAAACAAGAAAGAUUGGUUUAAAAAGCCACCCAUCAUCAGUGGGUGUUACUUCACAUUAGCAUUAAUACAUACAACACUGCUAGCUGAACAGUGGGAUUACAGUUGGAAACCAGGAAGUAGGAACGAUUCCUACUUCUACAUCCUUAUUGUCAAACCUGAUUUAAAAGCAAUUGCAUAUGUUGACAACUCUGCAAAUAUAGGUUUGACUUUAUGAAGCUUUAUUGAAAAAUUUGUAUUUUAUAAAGCACCCAUCAAUAUUAAGGAAUGUCUAGUCAAGGAGCUCUAGUAGUCUAGUUUAAUUAGCCUUUAAACUUGAUUAGAUUAUCUGCCUUCAUCCUUUUGCUAAUGAAAGUGAAAACAUCAUUCUCAUAGACAUGUUUUGAUUUUUCUUUUUUUUUUUUUAUAAGCUGCUGAAUUUUAAAAAUAAGUAAUACUUUUGGGGCCACCAAAUAUUUUGGAUCAUGCAAAGACUCUAUAUUGUACUGUAGUAAUUUUGUAAUAUUUGUAAGAUGAUAUAGUGGGUGUGACUGGUUACCAUAGCUUGAAUCUGUACAUUGUUCCAAUA